rnacentral:rRNA from 1 species
GACGAACGCUGGCGGCGGGCUUAACACAUGCAAGUCGAACGGAAAGGCCCUGCUUUUGUGGGGUGCUCGAGUGGCGAACGGGUGAGUAACACGUGAGUAACCUGCCCUUGACUUUGGGAUAACUUCAGGAAACUGGGGCUAAUACCGGAUAGGAGCUCCUGCUGCAUGGUGGGGGUUGGAAAGUUUCGGCGGUUGGGGAUGGACUCGCGGCUUAUCAGCUUGUUGGUGGGGUAGUGGAUUACCAAGGCUUUGACGGGUAGCCGGCCUGAGAGGGUGACCGGCCACAUUGGGACUGAGAUACGGCACAGACUCCUACGGGAGGCAGCAGUGGGGAAUAGUGCACAAUGGGCGGAAGCCUGAUGCAGCAACGCCGCGUGCGGGAUGACGGCCUUCGGGUUGUAAACCGCUUUCGCCUGUGACGAAGCGUGAGUGACGGUAAUGGGUAAAGAAGCACCGGCUAACUACGUG